CCUCACCACUAAUCAAUUUCACUCCUCAAUUCUCUCAACCAACCAGACAACUUCCCUCACUUUUCCACCAAUCAGAAAAGUUGGCAUUCCCUCUCUCUCAUCUUCUUCCUCUCUCUCUCUCUCUCUCUCUCUUUCUCUCUUUCUCUCUUUCUCUCUCUCUCUCUCUCUCACCUGUACCUCCCUCUUCUCUGCAACUACAAGGACCUUCAUCAAACACUCACAUAUUGAACUUAAAAAUACCACCAUCGUGAUCCUCUUAUCCUCACGAACCCAACUGUACAAACCGAUCUUGAAGUGGUUGAGUUUUGACUCGCCAACUCUGAAGCUCUGACUCGGACAAGUUAGCUCCGAUGUGAUCUCGGUAGAGUUACAAAGUUUUGAAGGUUGCGGAGGCAUCCACACAACUCCUUGGAGUCACUAGGCUAAGUUUGGAGUGGAGACAAUGUCAAAACACACAGUUUCGAAGAGUCGAAAACUAGGCCAAAUCUUUCGAGGAUUUUUCAGGCCAUUUUCCGUCCAUUUUUGGAUUCUCAAGAGAAAAUCGGCAAAGAUUUCCAGUUUCAGGCAAAACCAGACAGCGGCGCCGGCAGAUGACGAGGAUCACAAGAGAAGACAAAGAAUAUUUCGUCAAAGUUGACGGAAUAUUCUAACGACGCCAGACACGUGGCCUACGCGUGUGGCCGCAAGCUGGCGGCGCGUAAGGGCGCGUCCGGUCGCUGGCCGGUGAAUGGUUGACACGUACGGGGGAAAUUUAUCCUGAUGACGUAUGAGGACAAGCGAGGCUUGGGGCCUACGAUCCAUCGACAUAUCAGAAAUUUGGAGAUUGUAUAGAGUCAAGGGUUUAGGGGAGUUGAGUAACUCAGAAGAGUGUAGAAACUACUCUUUUUAUCGUCGAAUCCGG